AACAUGGUAAGUAUACCGGAAGGUGUGCUUGGAAACGAAGUGUAGCUUAAACAAAGCAUUUCGCUUACAC
rnacentral:tRNA from 1 species